rnacentral:snoRNA from 2 species
CCCCUCUCAGGAUCGCACCUGGAGAGUUUCCAGUACUCUAACAGUCUUGACUAUGGGAGGGAGAGUCAAGCAGAAGCAUAUCCAUUCCAUUCUUAGCUUGGUCAGAGGCCAGCUAGUGGAAAGCAAUCUGCUACAAAU